rnacentral:rRNA from 1 species
UCUUGGGAGAAAGAGGUAGCAAUAUCUUGAGUAAACCGGCGCAAGGGUGAGUAACACGUAGGUAACCUGCCCAGAGGACGGGAAUAAUCCCGCGAAAGCGGGACUAAUACCCGAUGAUGUUCCGAUGCGACAUCGCAAUGGAAUUAAAAGCCGAAAGGUGCUUCUGGAUGGGCCUGCGUCCCAUUAGGUAGUUGGUGAGGUAACGGCUCACCAAGGCGACGAUGCGUAGCCGACCUGAGAGGGUGAUCGGCCACAUUGGAACUGAGACACGGUCCAGACUCCUACGGGAGGCAGCAGUGGGGAAUAUUGCGCAAUGGGGGAAACCCUGACGCAGCAACGCCACGUGAAUGAUGAAGGCCUUCGGGUUGUAAAGUUCUGUCUUCUGGGACGAUAAUGACGGUACCAGAGGAGGAAGCCACGGCUAACUACGUGCCAGCAGCCGCGGUAAUACGUAGGCAGCAAGCGUUGUUCGGAGUUACUGGGCGUAAAGAGUGUGUAGGCGGUUCACUAAGUUUGGUGUGAAAUCUCCCGGCUUAACUGGGAGGGUGCGCCGAAAACUGGUGGGCUAGAGUGUGGGAGAGGGAAGCGGAAUUCCUGGUGUAGCGGUGAAAUGCGUAGAUAUCAGGAGGAACACCUGUGGUGUAGACGGCUUCCUGGACCACAACUGACGCUGAGACACGAAAGCGUGGGGAGCAAACAGGAUUAGAUACCCUGGUAGUCCACGCCCUAAACGAUGCAAACUUGGUGUGGGCAGUUCAGUCUGUCUGUGCCGGAGCUAACGCGUUAA